CCUACGGGGGGCUGCAGUGGGGAAUAUUGGACAAUGGGGGCAACCCUGAUCCAGCCAUGCCGCGUGUGUGAAGAAGGCCCUCGGGUUGUAGAGCACUUUCAGUGAGGAAGAACGCCUGGUGGUUAAUACCCAUCAGGAAAGACAUCACUCACAGAAGAAGCACCGGCUAACUCCGUGCCAGCAGCCGCGGUAAUACGGAGGGUGCGAGCGUUAAUCGGAAUUACUGGGCGUAAAGCGCGCGUAGGUGGCUUGAUAAGCCGGUUGUGAAAGCCCCGGGCUCAACCUGGGAACGGCAUCCGGAACUGUCAAGCUAGAGUGCAGGAGAGGAAGGUAGAAUUCCCGGUGUAGCGGUGAAAUGCGUAGAGAUCGGGAGGAAUACCAGUGGCGAAGGCGGCCUUCUGGACUGACACUGACACUGAGGUGCGAAAGCGUGGGUAGCAAACAGGAUUAGAUACCCUUGUAGUC
rnacentral:rRNA from 1 species